rnacentral:rRNA from 1 species
CACGUAGGGUGCAAGCGUUGUCCGGAAUUAUUGGGCGUAAAGGGCUCGUAGGCGGUCCGUCACGUCGGGAGUGAAAACUCGGGGCUCAACCCCGAGCCUGCUUUCGAUACGGGCGGACUAGAGGUAGGUAGGGGAGAACGGAAUUCCUGGUGUAGCGGUGGAAUGCGCAGAUAUCAGGAGGAACACCGGUGGCGAAGGCGGUUCUCUGGGCCUUACCUGACGCUGGAGGAGCGAAAGCGUGGGGAGCGAACAGG